rnacentral:lncRNA from 1 species
GAAAUUAAACACGAGAGAUGAAUCAGCUAAAUUGGAUUUACUUAUAUAGAUCAAAUGGCCACAGCCCAACUAGUAGGAAAAUGGGCCUAACUGGUGCCAGGAAGGAACGAGCUUAUUCCAAGGGAUCUCGAUUUAAAGAAGGAGAAGGAAAAGGGCAUGAGGAAUCAACACCAGCAUUCAGGGUGGCAAAUGAUUGAGAAGAUAGUUCCCAUUGGCUCCCAGGUGGCAAGUGACUGAGAAGUUAGCUCCCAUUGGCUCCCAGUGGCUCCCAGAGGUGGCACGUGACUGAAAAGUCAUCUCCAGAUGGGCCCCAGACAAGGCAUGUGGCUGAGAAGACAGCUCUCAUUGGUUCCCAGGUGGCACAUGACUGAAAAGUAAACUCCCAUUGGUUUCCAGAUGUGGUCAUGACUGAGAAGUCAGCUCCUAUUCACUCCCGGGUGGCUCAUGACUGAGAAGUCAGCUCCCAUUGGUUUCUGGAGGUGGCUCGUGACUGAGAGGUGUCCUGAGAGGGGCCACCCCACCUCUGUCCCUCCACCAGAGUGGGCCAAUUUCCCCAUGAUCUCUAGGAAACCACCAGGACUGUCCUUUCCAGGCUCUGUCCCUCUGCAGGUGGAGGGGAGCCUCACCCUGUGGGCUUAAAGGUGGUGCCGAUUCUUUGCUACGUCCCAUUGAGCAGUGAAAUCCACGUCGCUCCUCUUGGGCAUGCAGAGUGAGGUCCGGAGCUCCCAGGCAGGAUCAUUAGAGGCCUGGAGGCUGCUGCCUGGGCCUCCCGUUAGACCUACCCUUGGAGUCCCGGCUCAGCGGGAAGCCAGACGCCAUGCAGUGGAGCUCAUGACCCGGGCAGUGCCACACCCUGAGGGUGCCCAGCCAUUGGAGAGACCCUGGAGGCUGCAGUCGUGGGGAGAGAGCAAGGUCUGGGGACGCCAGGGCUCGGAUGUGGAACUGAGGUGGCCCAGCUGGCCCCAUCCACCAGGGACAGCCCCCCAGCCAAGCCCUGCGCGAAUGUCUGACCAACAAAAUCAUGAGCAAAAUCACACGUCUGUUGUGAGUCGCUGCGUGUCAGCGUGCUUCGUUGUGCAGCAGAAGUUCUCCAGAACCGGAGCCCAGACUCCAAGCGUGCACGGGGGAUUAAAGAAUUAAAGCGAAAUUCCUGAAGAUAAAGAUGGUGAACAACACACCCUGGGUCACCCCUCCUUCUACUCUUUUUUUCCCCCCAGUAAAUGUCAUGCUUCAAGGGAGUAUAACUAAGGAAAGUUCAAAGUAAUAAUAUCAGAAAUCUGCUUCCUUUUAUUUCUUCUGACAUUUUAUUGUGAUAUGUAAUUGGAAGAAGACGAAACCUCUGAUGGGUAUAUUUAGUUCGUUGUGUUGGUGAGUGUUUCAAAGGUGGGUCCUCUGCGGCUCUCAUUAGCAUCAAGUGUGCAAAUCUUCAAGUUGCUCCUUAAUGAGCACAGUCACGCUAUAGGCAUGUGACAUAUCCGUAUCUAGGACUGGGCAUCUCGUGAAUGGGUCUCAUGUCAUAAACCUGGAACUUAGCCCCAACAGAAACACACGCCUAGCUAUGGCGGCUGCUCAGCCAGCACAGCCCCACUUCUGUUCACUCCCAACGGGGGCUCAUGACUGAGAAGUCAGCCCCCAUUGGUUGACUUCAGCAAAUGUGAGCCCUCAGCAAGUGUGAGGCAUUUUCUUCCAGGUCUGUAGGACCCAAGGGACCCCGACUUCUUCGUCACAUGCUACCACUUCUGGGAGCGUCUGACAGGCUUUAUCCUAGAGAAGCCUUGUCCAAGGGAACACCAAGCUACGAAUGAGUUCCUGGCUGUCAUUUUCAACCCAGGCAAAGAUAAUCUCAUGUCCUUGCAUGUCUCAGCAGGCAGCCCUUGUUCCUCCAAGCAUGGCUCAGUCUCUCACUGGGGGGACCAGGGCACGCUUGCUCCUGACUGGCUGGUGGGAUGUGCUGCAGGCCCUCUGGUCUCUGGCUCUCUGCUUGUCUUUGUUAUUUUGGCUUUGUUGUCAUUUUUAAUGGUAAGUGUCUCUGAGCACUAUCUCUCCAAGAUCACACUGAGCUUGCCAUGUCCUCUGGUAAGGGAGAAGGUGAUUGUGGUCUGAUGUUCUGGAUUCAUCCAAUCAGUGUCCCCCAACCUACCCGCCUACUAACCUAAGCCAUCUGAGCCAAAUCAGCCUCCAUUAGCCACUUCCACUGGCAGUGCUACCCACGCAGCAUGUGUCAGGUUAUUUGUCUAACUGAGACCUAUCAGGCAUCCCCAGUGUGGCACACAAGCUCUACACUGGAAGUUCACUGGUAAAAGGAGAGAUGAGGUGGUCCUCCCAUGUGGCUUAACUCCUAGGGUGCCAGACAGCCAAUAAACAAGUAAAUCAAUUCACAAGCAAGAUAAAUGCAGAUAGUGAAGACUGCUGUGAAGAAAAUAAAAUGGCAAAGCUAAUGUGGGAAGCCCAGGGUGUGGGGAAAGACUGUUUGGUGGGGAAGUCAGGGAGGGCUUCACCAAGAGGUGACUCUAAGUCCUGCGUGACAGAAAGAAGGCAGCCAUUCAGCGGUGUGAGGACCCAGACAUCCAGGCAGAGGGCAUGGCCAGUGCCAAGGUCAUGAGGUAAGAAUGAACUUGGAGCAUUUGAGAGACAGCAGGGUCCACGUGUCUGAGCAAGUGGGGGAGCCGAGGGAUUGCCUUCCACCAUUUGAGGUUCAGCUCAAAAUCCUCCUUAGAUUGGCUUUUCCUGACGUCUCCUGCUAAGAGGUUCUGCCUGCCCUGACCCUGACCCCAGUGACCCUCCAACACUUUACCUUUUCUAUUUGCUUGGCAACUUUUAUCAAUUUCCAGGCCACCUUAACUAUGUGUUUAUCAGUUCACUGUCUGUUUCUCCUGCUGGAGUAUAUGCUUUGUAGGGAAAGUCAUCUCUGCCUUUCUCACAGCCAUAUCCCCAGUGCUUCUUACAGUUCCGGGUACCUGGAGUGUACUCAAGAAAUAAUUGUUGAAUGAACAAUUCACCACACCUAUCGUGAGCUAUUCACAAAGCAGUGGUACUGGCAUCACCAGAGUGGAUCCGUCACAUCUGGAGAGAAUUUAAGUCUAUUUACAUUUAUCUUUGGGCCUGGAGGACAUUGUAUACGCACACACACACACACACACACACACACACACACACCGAUACAAAUUACAGUUACGACAAGCACAAUCAUACUUGCCUGUGAGCUCUUUAUGUGCCAGAUUUGUCUAAGAAGUUAAUCAACUCAUGUAUAAAGAUGUUAAUGUCAACAAGAAAAAAACAAAUAAUCCCAUAAAAAAGUGGGAUUAUUAAAAGAAGACAUACAAACAAACAGCCAACAAACGUGAAAAAAUGCUCAACGUCACUAAUUAUCCAAGGAAAUCCAAAUUAAAACUGGAAUGAGAUACCACCUUACU